rnacentral:rRNA from 1 species
UACGUAGGGUCCGAGCGUUGUCCGGAAUUACUGGGCGUAAAGAGCUCGUAGGUGGUUUGUCGCGUUGUUCGUGAAAACUCACAGCUUAACUGUGGGCGUGCGGGCGAUACGGGCAGACUCGAGUACUGCAGGGGAGACUGGAAUUCCUGGCGUAGCGGUGGAAUGCGCAGAUAUCAGGAGGAACACCGGUGGCGAAGGCGGGUCUCUGGGCAGUAACUGACGCUGAGGAGCGAAAGCGUGGGGAGCGAACAGG